rnacentral:lncRNA from 1 species
GCAUACUUCAAGAGUAUGAGGCCACCCAGCACAGAAGAACUGCCAGCUCCAGGGUCAAAGCCAUAACGCAGGUAUUUCUGUCUUGUUUGGACUGAAUUUCAGUUUGUUUUCUUUCAUCCAGUUGCUGUUUAGUCAAAAGCUUCUACCAUGCUCCCUGAUCAGGAGAAAUGGAAGUGGUUGUGGUUGUUGUUAGCAUAAUUUAGCCCUAAACAUUUUCCCCCUCCUCAAUUCAAAUGUUGAAAAAGCAUGUGGGAUGUAGCCCAGGGACGAGGACAACUGUCCCACCAGUACUAAUCAAGAACUUGCUUCACAGGUAGAAGCAGAACCACUGAAAAGUAGUGCCUCCAGUUCCCCAUUUACCCAGGUGAUUAAGAAAAAUGUCAUGGAUAAUGGCAUCAAAAGCCACUCAGAGAUCAAGAAGAAUCAGCAGGGUCACACUCCCUCCACCAUUUCUCAGUGUAGGCCAUUCACAACAGUCCAACAGACAUGGGACUGUUGUUUGGGAUGGAGUGGAGAGAGAUUACAUUUCCCAGCAGUUUCUCCACUAUACAAGUGGCACCUUAAGAGAAGACAACUGGAUUUAGAUCCCACAUGGCAAAUGAAUUGCUAUAUAUUUAUCACAUCAAAUAUAUGUCUACCUAAGUAAGCAACAGCCAUCUGACACACUCCUAUUCCACCACGGACAGUGGGCUAAUCGAGAAGUACGACAGAUCCAGAUUAGUCCCUCAAGCAUUUUGUGAACACAAGCCUCACUGAAAUGAACGGGGGUUGUGCCAGCAAACCUGUUUUGAGAACGAGACAAUCUUUUUGGCUUAGCUCUUUAGGAAAGCUUGGGUCUUUCUUGGCAGAUUUAUGCCUGUUUGUUCCAUCCUGAGGCCACUGCAUCCAGGCCAAGAUUAUCCCAUGGCCUGGAAACUGGCGAAUAGCCGUUCUGCUUUGGAACAUGAUCAAAGGCCUUCCAAGCUUCCCUUCAUUUUCUUUCUUCCCUCACUAAAAAGCAAAACUUAGAUCAAAACUUAGCAAGCAAUAGCCUUUUCACUUAAGACAUACAGAUGCCAGCUUCCUAUACACAGUCUAGGCAGGUAGGGUCCGUUCCCCCUGUGGCCAGGAAGCCAUAUAGUUUCUGUCAGCUACAUGAACCAACAUCAAACAAGUCUAGUCUGAAGUGAUAUGUGGGGAAUCGGCUCUCUCCAUUCCCCAAAUGAGAACAGUUUGGACAUGCCCUUAUCAAAUCCUAUCAGCAAUCAUUUGUGAAGAGGGAAAAAUGGUUCCAGGUAAAAUGCAACUCCAAAGAUUGCUCUAAGGAUGGCAAGAAAGAAAACUUAAGUACACGGUGACUUUCAUUGGUGCCAAGGGAAUGCAGAGACAUGGACAUAUUUCUUUUCCUUUAACAGCUUUUUUUAAAAGCCAGAUGCCUAGUGGCAGCGACCAGCUGACAGAGCUUAUCAGCUUGCAGACCAGAGAUAGGACAAGCAGUAACAAUAUCCACAACGAUACAUCUGCAGAAUCUGUCAAACGCUGUUUCUUGAUUUGGAGAGACUAUCUGUAAAUGGCUCUUUGUACGACCAAUAUUUUUAAAAUCCUGGCAUGCUAAUAUCCUGCUCCUUUUCUCAGAUGCACUUAAAACUAACCUUGGUUCACAUUCAGCCCCCAGCCUACCGAAUGACUGCAAGAAAGUUUCCUCCAAUAUGACUCAUGGUUUGAAUUUUUGCUUGAUAUUUGUGGCUGAAUGCAUUCUAAAGCUGGCCAGUUAUGCUGUGUAGGGAUCGCCAACCCUUUUGGGCUUGUGGGUACAUUUGCAAACCAGAUAAACUGUUGUGGGCACUACACACUCCCCUGAAGCCAAACACACAUCACAGCCUAUUCUGUUAUCUAUAGCAGUAUGAUUCUUUCAAGCAGAACUUUCAAGCAGUGAGGAGAGGGUGAAGGAACCUUGUGGGCACCAGGGAAGUCCUCUGUGGAUGCAUGUGAUCCAUGGGUACCAUGUUGCCAACCUCAAUAUAUAUAUGAAAGCUCCUUUUUAGCAGUGCACUUAAUGUUUAACAAGGAAAUUCUUAAACUGAGGUCCCCCUUGAGCAACCCCUGAUGACACUGCCCCUCAUCUGAUCUAAGUCUGAAACUUAACACCCCCAAGUGACGUGAAGAAGGCAGAAAUUUUUCAGAAUCUCCAGGCAAAAGUAGCUUGUCAUGCAGGGUUGAGAAAAUCUGGUUCUGCUUUGAUUCCUUCUUCUGCCCACGAGCCCUGUCCUCAUGUUCAACUCUGCAGCUAGCUAACAUAAGCCUCAACAAAGCAGGGUAAAAUAAAUCAUGACUGUCUCCUGACUGGUGCUGGAGUUUGGAAUAUUUCCUUCCUAAAAGCUGCUUAACAUUCUAGUGUGUGAAUGGAUCUAGCACUUUGGAAAAGCUUUAAUUAGCUGCACCUGGCUCCUUUUCUGAGCUGUUGUCUGUUCUGUCCCUGUGAGCCUCCACCUGUUUAUUUUCGGGACCUUUAUCCCUUCACCUGUUUACUUCAGCAUAUGUUCUGUCUUGAAGGUUGCCUUUUGAUGGCUUGCCAUGGACUGUUUCCCUUGUAAAACAGAGUUCUUCUUUUCUCUUACGCCCGUGAGUCUCAUCCUGAUCCUGCCAAGGACUGCUGGGUCUGGACCAGGCUCACAGCCGAGUUGACUAACUUCUUACAAUGUAAUCCCAUGGCAGGAGGCCCGAUUCUACUGACUUCUGAAGAUACACAGAGUGUUCCCAUUUCAUUUAUGAAUCACUUCCCAUGAAACAUCUAGAAGUGGUUGAAAACAUCAACAAUAAAAACAUAAAAAACACACCAAAAACUGUUUCAGAUCCAAUACAGAGGCAAGGAUAAAAACAGCAAGUGGAGUCUAAUGUCCAUUAAUUCCAGAGGUGGUCAACCUGCAGCUUUUGAGGUUCACAUGAGGUCAGCAUUCUGGCAAGUAUGAAGUGUCCCUCCUAUGAGAAAGAAAGAGAGGGAGGGAGGUAUGGUCUAACCUACCUUCUGCUCUGGCUCUGCCCAUUGUUGGCUUCCAUUUCCCCCUCCCUGUCGCCACCACAUGGCCCCCCUGAGAGAUAAGCCUCAGGGGACUGCAGCUCUCAACAGAACAAAGGUUCCCACUCUGGCUUUAUUCAACUGUGUGAUCAGCUCACACACCCUUUGAUAAAGUGAAUAGCAUUGCUUGUAUUUUAGGAGGGAAGGAGCCAUUGAGUUCAAUAGCUGCUGAGCUCUUAAUACUUCAGAGGUCCUUUGCUACCUUCUUUUUUUUAUUCCACCUGCUGUUUUUUCUUUUUAAUUCAGAAAACCCACCAUUUUCCAGUUCUGUGAAUCUGUAUUUAAGUCAUCACUCCAUCAUUGUCAAUUUUCUUUUACAAGAUCCUGCUUCACAAAGCACUGCAGCAGAAGCACUAUGAUUUCCGGAAAGCAAAGGUUGAUGUGCGUUACUGAACAAAAGUAAGCUGCCCUGUGUGCUUUGAACUAUACGGAAUAUAAAAAGGCAGUUAAGGAACAACUGAUUUCGUGUUAAGCCUUGAGGAUGUAACUGAUUCACCAGCUGAAUCUCCUGUGGUAUAUCUCCUAGGGCAUUUCCUCUAGGAAAGUUGACCUUGCUGCUUACUCUUCCCCUAAUGCUAGGAAGGGGCAUUGUAAAAUUCAGCUUUCCACUAGGUGGCAAAGACAGGCAAUGAUUUGGUUAUACUUCCCUAGGGAUACACAAAUCUGUCAGUUUUUUAUUUCUUUCAGUUUCUCAUUUUCCCCAUUUUAAGCAUGGUUUUCCACGUUUCCUCAUCGGUUUGUAUUUUUAAAAAGGCCUCAUGAAAAUUUACCAGCAUUUUAAUGCAUAUUUCUCUGAAUACAUACAUUUUUGUGUGCAAUUUUUCUAAUAUACACAGUUUUAACCAGCAUUCCCCCUAACACAUUGCAGUUUUUUAUGAUGUUUUCAUUAAAUGUUCAUUUUUUAUGCACACUUUCCAUAAUACGUACAUUUUUGGCUGGAGAACAGCACUGCAAAAUUUAGAGAGGCAUGAAGUUUGAAAGAUAGCUGUAUUUCUGUAAAGAUAGCAGACUGCUUUGGGAAGUGUGAAUUAGGUUUUCAUUAACAUGCGAACCAAACCAAAUUUCUUUCUCAUCUCCCUACCACCACUCAGCAAGUGUGGAACCUCAAAGCUAUAGAAUGCACUCUACAAAAUUCAGUGCUAUUCUGCAGGAACAAAUAUAACUUUUUACUUUAGAUCGCAACAGAGUUGAAAGUCUUGAGAUCACAGAAUAACGGAGAGAAAGACAGAGCAACACAGAUUAUGAAAAUUCAAAGCAAUGCUUCACAGAUAACCAGAAGUCUACUAGUUAAAUAUCAGCAACCCUGAUUGUGCCAAUAAUGUCAUACUGUCAGGCGUGUCCAUUAGAGUGGAGUGGUGGUGAUGCUUUAUGAUGAUGAUUUAAAUUUGCAUACAGCCCUAUACCUGCAGGUCACAGGGCAGUUCACAACAUAAAAACACAAAAUACAUAAUAAAAACAAGAACAAUUCGACUCCACCCUGAUCCUCUUCCUGCCCCCCCAAACUUCCUUCCAAACUCAAAACCCCCUCUUGCCACAUGGGCUCCCCACCAAUGCCCCCCAUUUGCUAAGAGGCAAGCUACCCCCAAGUCACCCCCACCCCAAAAUGGGGGCCCCGACUUAUGCCACACCCCCUACCCAGCUUCCCCCUCUCAGGCAAGCUGACCCAGUCUCUCCCCGGCCAGGACCCCCCCCCUGCUCUCUCCUUGGCCUUGUCAAGGGCUCAACACCACCUUUCCAUCAGGGGAGGGAUUUAGGUGGGAACUCAGCCACAAAUCUGCGCCACGUCACACCCCCCCAUGCACAUCUGGCUUCCCACCAGCCACAUCACUGUGCUUACCAUGAGAGAGAGGGUUGACGUGGCAUUCUGAAGGUGCAGUAGUGAAGCCAAUCUGCACCAUGCCUCACUCUUUGCCACCUCACUCUUCCCCCUCUCCCUCCCAGUCAGCACAGUUAGGGUUGCCAUGCGUAUGGAAAAUCCCAGACCUGCCCUAUUUUUGGGGUCCUACAUCCCCAUCCUCUUCCCCUUCUUGCUUGGAGCCCAAAGUUUGUGAGUAGCGGUGGGGCUGAGAGCGCUAGAGGUGGCAGCAGCAGGGUCUCCUGAUGAGAGACCCAGGUGGCAUUUGGGAGCCAUAGUGCCACUGUAGCUGCCAUAGCCUGUCAAGCGCCUGAAGCUGCCCCUCUGCCGCAGCCGCCUCUUCUCUUUUCUGGCGAUUUCCCCCCAAAGGCCCAAUGAUUUUUGUUGAGCCGCCAAUCAUCCGGAUUUUAACUUCAUGAAAUAUGGCCACCCUAGAUGACUGACAGGAAAACAUGUGCAUGGUGUCCCCCUGUUAGGAUAUUUCUGGCCCUGUGUACUGAUGAUUAAAGUUACAGGCAUUUUAGGGAGAUGUGUUGUGUUCUGAUGCAUUGCAGUCAACAUUAAAAGCCCUUUUGUAUUAUUGAGUUUAAAUGACUAACCAUGUUGUAUUCCACCCAAAGUAACUAACUGAUUGACUACCAUCCAGAAAUACUUCUAGGACCCCAAUAACUCACUCUUUCAUCUAGAAUUCUAUAAAACUCUUGUGGCCUUGAAGGUUCUAUCUAAAAUACAAACAUAUCGGCUCUCCCAGUAUGGAUGGCUCAAAUAAUUACAAGUCACACAGCGUGCAAGAAUAAAGCAAAAGAAAGUUCAUCAGAAUGCAAAGUGUGUUGCUGGAUGGUGUCAUGGCUACCCCUGUCCACCUUGGAAAGCAAUGGCGGUGGCUGGAAGAUAGGGUUAACUGCUGCAGUGGAGCUGGCUUUUGCAUACCAGCAAAAACUUAUACACUUGUUGAAGCCCC